UAGGUGAAGAUUCCAUCUGCCCAACUGACUUCCUUCUCUCCUGAAGAAGUUGAGAUGAAGGUUUGAAGAGAUUUUCCCUGUGAUCAAACUGAGGAAGGAGUUUUUCCUGUAUCUGGCUGCUGGCAGCAUCAGUCUUACUUGGACAUCUAACAACAAAAGAUCCUGGCUCUAUUUGAUUUUGGACUCCUGCUGUGAGAUUGAGAUACCUUGGGAAUGAUCCUUCAAUGUCCCCUGAACUGGUCUGCCUCCACUACAGACUUCCUUUGUGCAUACUUGGUCCAUCUGCUCUUCCCAUCUUCAUUUUUUAGAGUUAUUUCUACUUCCUUAUGGAGUGCAUCAAGAAAGGAAAGAAAAUGGCUCCACUGUCACACACACAAAUAUAGGGAUUUUGUUAUAUAUACAUAUUCUGGAUAUAUUUGAAUAUAGAUAUAUAUCUUGGCAUAUUUAUAGAGUCAAGAUAAAAGAGGCAGGAAAUUACAUGAACUUUCUCAACAUCCCCCUCCAAACAACUUUAAAAUAAUUCUCAAAUCAAAUUCUGGAGUGGCAGAGCCAACAGAAUGUUGGGGUAAAAUAAUUUGCUCGCCUAAGACAACUUGGGAAGUUGUAGAAAAGUUCUAUCACACAGGGUGAUAGUCUGGCCCAGAGUACAAUGCAGGCUACACAGGACAACACCACAGGCUUUGGGGGGCAGCUGCAAAAGAGGCAACAGAAGUUUCAGAAGCUCUCAGCCCUUAGAUAGUAAACAUAGAAAAAGAACAAAUUAAACACCACCCAAUUAGAAACCCUGAAAAUCAAAGGAGAGAUAAGUAAAAUAAAAUAAGAAAACUGGUUUUAUUUUUUAAAACUACAACAAUAAAAUAGAUAAACAAUU